UCGUUGGCUAGGCGGGCGAACUCUUCGAUGCUGAGGGUUUCGCCGCGUCUGGUCGGUUCGAUGCCGAUGUCGGCGAGC
rnacentral:tRNA from 1 species